GGGACGAGCGGCGCAUGCGCAGCUCUCUGCACCUCACACACGCGUACACUCCCCCCUCCCCGCCGCUUACCCAGCCGCCUGGCCGGAAGUGAGGUUGUCAGGCCCGCGCGAGCACGUGGAGGGGAGGGAGGGGGGAGCGAGGCGCCUCGCGCUGCUUCGCUCCCCCCACCCCGCUCGCCUCGUGGCGACCGUUAGGACUCCGGCGACCGUUAGAGUUCCAACGGCCGCGCGCGCGCCGCCCUCGCCGCGCUGAGGCGACCCUGCCGCUUCGGGGCGUUGAGCGAGGGCGCCCGCUCGCACCCUCCGCUCAAGGAGGCGAUUCGGCCCCCGCGGGAAGCCUGGCGUUUUCGCAGAGCUGUUGCAACAACAAGAAGAAAAACAAAAAAAACAGGCGGGAGGCAAACAGAGCCUCUCGCGGUUGGCCCCGGCCACCGUCAGUGCUUCGCUGACACCACUCAGUGCGUUUAAAGGCAGCAGGUGCUCUCGGGAAGGGUGGCUGUGCAGAGGUUUAGCUUCGGACGGUGAUGGGAAGGCGUUUUAGACCACUGUGGUGGUAAAAACGGCCCUGAACACCCUGAUCAGGCCACCCGACAGGCCUGCGGACCCUCUGAGGUCCACAGACUGCUUCCAGAGGGGAAAGUAAUAACUGCAAUAACUCCGCUGACAUCAAGGUGCAUGUAAAUUGACAAUAGGGAGGCUUCACAGACACACUAAUUUAGGAGUUAACUGACUGAAAAACAGCGGUAGAAAACCAUGAAUCUCGACAGAAGAAUGUCAGCUAUGCAUUCCCUGCUGUGAAAUGUACCCUCCAUGGACAUCUUGCCUACAGACAAGGCAGGUCUGGGAACUCUCCAGCAUGAGACUAGUUUCACCUGUGAAAUUUCCAAGAAAAUAAAAGUUGGAUUUGAAGAAUGUUUUCUGAGCCACGAGAAGCCCAGUCUUUGCAGUCCCCCGCUCAAGACUGUGGGCUCUGUUGGAAAGCUACAAAGCCACGGCAGCCAGGGUGCUGGUGACUGAAAGGAGUGCAGCAUCCAGUUAGUAUACUCUGCUUCAAAGGAAGGUGUGGCCCAACAGGACAAAGUCCAAAGGAUGCCAAUGAGAAUGAUGAGAAGUCUGGAAAACACAUCCCUUAAAUUUCUUUGCAGAAACUGUGAAAGAUUUGUCAAUCCUGGCAUAAUUCAUCCAAAAAAAAUCCUUAAAGACCAUCACAAAGAUGAACUAGCAAUAAAACUUGUAUCGAAAACAGGAAAAUGCCACUAAGAAAGGGAGAAUUGACACAGCUGAAGGGAAAAGAAGAUAAGAGCACCUAGGAGAAACUACUUGUGGCAGACACAAAGGGCCAAUUGUUCUGGAUUGUUAAUUCACAUGAGACAGAACCAUGGAUAGACGCAGCAGGGAAGUUUUUCAGACACAGCAAUUGCUUCUGGGAUUUCCUUAGGAUUUCAAGAAAGCGCAGUCUUCUGUAUAGCUGGAAUGUGUGAAGAAGUUUGGGUAGAUGGACACUAGAGGAGGUACCGAAUCUCUCAGCCCUGGGGACACGUUGAGGGAACCAGCAGUCCCUCUGUGCUUCCUGCUGUAGACUGCCUGGUUCUGUUCCUGUCCCAGCCCCUGCCUUGUGCACGAUGUAUCUGCCCUGAAGGCUGAUCCAGCUGAGAAGUAAACCAGCAUGUGUGGACAUGAGAAAGACAGGAAGAAACAAGUGUUGGCAAGGUGACAGAAUUGUCUUUCAGCAGCGAAGCAGCAUCUGUAAAAAUGGCAACUCUCUCCGUUGCCCACAUGCUGACCCUUUUCAUCGGUGACAUGGAAGUGCUAGGAACGGGGACUCUGCAGCUGUGGUGUGCACAGUGCUUUGCAUAACACAUUCACACUCCCAGACAGAUGCUGAGUCCUGCUGCACUACAGAGACUAAAAUAAAGACCUGAAACAUGUCAGUCAAGUACCUCUUGGUUACAGCGACCAUGUUUUCAAAGCUUAGAGGAGCUGCUCCAGAUUUGGCUGACAAGUUACAUCAUCCCCUGACGAAUCAUGCUUUUCAGCUUUUCAGUGUGCUGGGAAGGCAGAGGAUGUGUAUAUGGGUUGAAUGCAGUGUUGAUGCUCACAAAGAAAAUGGAUUUUUACCUAACAAGUCUCAGAUGAACCUGUGCCAAGAAGUAGCAGGAGGGGUGGGUACCACAGUUAAUUUUCAUUUGCUCACAAUUGAUCUUAGGCCUCCAGGAAAGAAGGUAUUUCCUUCCUCCUUUUCUUACCUAUCUCUCUAUUGGGCAGUGUCCGUGAACAAUCAGGAGAAAAAGUGGCCAAAUACACCCCCCCCCAAAAAAAGAGAAAAAAAUUCAUCUGAAUCAUCUUAUUUCAUUCUCUUCUUCUGCUAAUGUUCAAAGAAAUGAAAUAGUAAACCAGAGUAAAACCCAGGCAGCAUCUGACCUCAGUCUUUCAGCAAUGUUGACUUGGUUUCUUGAUUUAACAGCCCAGUGAAUGUGCAUUCUCGUGGUCCUGUGCUCCUGUCGGUUCCACUCCUCUUGCAUGGGUUUGGUCUCGGGGAACCAAAAGAAGCAAUAAAAGAUAGUCCUGGCAAGCACAUUUCCAGCAGUUUUCCCACUGCCACUGCUGGAGCACUGUAAAUGAGUUGGCAGAGAAUCCGCCUCACUUCGAGUUUUAGCACGCAGCCAUUUGAUUCAAUCAACCCUUUGCUGGUCCUACAGAAGGGCAGCAGAGGCAAGCAGAAAUCAAAUAAAAGGCAAUAAACAAAGGGCAGGAACUUGUCCUUGGUCUGCAGCCAAGAGGUUCUUUGGUCCCACCAAGACUUUUACUUGCAGACAAAUGAAGAGAUCAGCUUCUUUUUCUUGCCCCUUCUGCUCUGCUCUGCUGUGCAUUGCUCUCCUUGCAUUCUGCAGCUCAUGAAACAUUUUUUGCAGAAGUACUUGACGUCAUUCCUGCUUAGGCUACCAAUACUUCCAAGGGACAGCAAAGCUGAGGUAGCAAGCUUUCAAAAAUACCAAGCUGGAAGAGAGAAGUCUCAAGGAGACCAAAUCACAUUUACUGCAAAAGCAAUUAGCUCAACUCGAAGGUAUCACUAUAUGCUGAGGAGAAGGUGCAAGGCCUCCUAGUGCUAAACCUGCAGUGUGCCACAUGCCUUGAGCCAGCCAAAAGAAGUCAUCCUGACAGCCCUUCCCCAGGCAUGUGCUCUUCCUCUUGCCCCAGGUCCAGCGUUUUUGCAGCUAUGUGGUGGCCCAGCUGGGGAAACACAGUCUGCACAGAGCUACGUCAUCAAAAGUGAAAGAACUGGAUGCCUUUUUAGAGUAGUGAGCUCCCUGAUCCUGUUCUCUGCAAGGCUACGCAAGUUCUCUGCCAGGCUAAAAGCAGCAAGUUCUGUCUUACCGCAUUUUCUACACAGCAGCUGAAGGUUUCGUUAUUCACAUACUGUCACUGUUAUGUGUACUGCCACACGAUGGAGACAGAGAGCUCAGUGAGGCUGAGACCCUCCAUUUCCUUAACUGCAUGCUGGCCUUAAAGUGUAGCCAUGGGGUUCCUCAAGGAUGCACACAGCUGAUCAGCUGCACAACUUUCAGAAUUAGUCGGCAGUGAUCAGGGAC